rnacentral:rRNA from 1 species
AUUGAACGCUGGCGGCAUGCCUAACACAUGCAAGUCGAACGAGUGGCGGACGGGUGAGUAAUGUCUGGGAACCUGCCCGAUGGAGGGGGAUAACUACUCGAAACGGUAGCUAAUACCGCAUACCCUCAGAUGUGCCCAGAUGGGAUUAGCUUGUUGGUGGGGUAACGGCUCACCAAGGCGACGAUCCCUAGCUGGGUUGAGAGGAGGACCAGCCACACUGGAACUGAGACACGGCCCAGACUCCUACGGGAGGCAGCAGUGGGGAAUAUUGGACAAUGGGGGAAAGCCUGAUGCAGCCAUGCCGCGUGUAUGAUGAAGGCCUUCGGGUUGUAAAGUACUUUCGGCGGGGAAGCGUUACCCGCAGAAGAAGCACCGGCUAACUCCGUGCCAGCAGCCGCGGUAAUAC